AUACUUACCUGGCAGGGGAAACACCAUGGUCAUGAAGGUGCUUUUCCCAGGGUGAGGCUUACCCAUUGCACUGCGGGUGUGCUGACCUCUGCAGUUUCCCCAAGUGCGGGAAACUCAGCUGCAUAAUUUGCGGUAGUGGGGGACUGCGUUUGCGCUUUGUCCUG
rnacentral:snRNA from 1 species